GAGUUUGAUCUUGGCUCAGAUUGAACGCUGGCGGCAUGCCUUACACAUGCAAGUCGAACGGCAGCACGGGAGCUUGCUCCUGGUGGCGAGUGGCGAACGGGUGAGUAAUGCAUCGGAACGUAUCCUGGAGUGGGGGAUAACGUAGCGGAAGUUACGCUAAUACCGCAUAUUCUGUGAGCAGGAAAGCGGGGGACCUUCGGGCCUCGCGCUCUUGGAGCGGCCGAUGUCGGAUUAGCUAGUUGGUGAGGUAAAGGCUCACCAAGGCGACGAUCCGUAGCAGGUCUGAGAGGAUGAUCUGCCACACUGGAACUGAGACACGGUCCAGACUCCUACGGGAGGCAGCAGUGGGAAUUUGGACAAUGGGGCAACCCUGAUCCAGCCAUGCCGCGUGAGUGAAGAAGGCCUCGGUUGUAAGUCUCUUCGUCGAGGAA
rnacentral:rRNA from 1 species